rnacentral:rRNA from 1 species
UACGUAGGGGGCAAGCGUUAUCCGGAUUUACUGGGUGUAAAGGGAGCGUAGACGGCUGGCCAAGUCUGAAGUGAAAGCCCGGGGCUUAACCCCGGAACGGCUUUGGAAACUGCCCCGCUCGAGUGCCGGAGGGGCAGGCGGAAUUCCUAGUGUAGCGGUGAAAUGCGUAGAUAUUAGGAGGAACACCAGUGGCGAAGGCGGCCUGCUGGACGGUGUACUGACGCUGAGGCUCGAAAGCGUGGGGAGCAAACAGG